GCCUGGGUGGCUCAGUCGGUUAAGUGUCCGACUUCGGCUCAGGUCAUGAUCUCGCGGUUUGUGGGUUCAAGCCCCGCAUCAGGCU
rfam:Felis catus breed Abyssinian Contig11067.1, whole genome shotgun sequence. [26-MAY-2016]